rnacentral:rRNA from 1 species
GUGCAGCAGUCGAGAAUCCUCCGCAAUGCGCGAAAGCGCGACGGGGCCACCCCGAGUGCCGCCCGCUGAGGGUGGCUUUUCCCCGGUGUAGACAGCCGGGGGAAUAAGGAGAGGGCAAGUCUGGUGUCAGCCGCCGCGGUAAUACCAGCUCUCCGAGUGGUGGGGACGAUUAUUGGGCCUAAAGCGUCCGUAGCCGGCCCAGCAAGUCCUCCGUUAAAUCCAGCGAUCCAAUCGCUGGACUGCGGGGGAUACUGCUGGGCUAGGGGGCGGGAGAGGCCGGCGGUAUUCCCGGGGUAGGGGUGAAAUCCUAUAAUCCCGGGAGGACCACCAGUGGCGAAGGCUGCCGGCUGGAACGCGCCCGACGGUGAGGGACGAAAGCCGGGGGAGCGAACCGGAUUAGAUACCCGGGUAGU